GAAAUACAACAUUCGCGAAACUGGAUAUCUUCAGAUCGUACUUCUGCAGGCUGUCUGAGGUUCGCCUAAAUCACUACAGUCCAAGGAUGCAUUACAGAGGCUCAGAAGCAGGAUCGAGCUGGCACGUUCUGCACGCAGGAAGGACUCUGCACGUGGAUGGGCGUCCUGGUCGGUCUAGCACAGUUGGGGCCCAGGGGACUGGGGCGUGGCCGAGCAGCCUGUCCCUGGCAGUUGAGCCGGCUCAGCUGGGAACUCAACCUAGGGUGGCCAGGGGCGUGGCGAGCCCUCAGUCACGUAGCCCGGUAGCUCUGCGCGCUACCAAGGACUGUGGACUUCGCGAGGUCAGCAAUUGAUGGUUUAGGGAUCAUCUGGGUUUUCCUAACCACAUUUUAUUUGCUCACUUGCUAAAAAUUGACAGAAAGCAGGAACCGGCACAUUUAUACAAGUUGCACGUUUCAAAGGCGAGGGAGCGUCACCGAGGCUGCAGUGUGCUCUGGGACCUGGGAUUUCAGUAGCCCUUGGCAGAUAAGGAAAAGCUCUAAAAGGAUGAGCCGCCCCCCACCCCUACCCGCAGGCACUACGUUCCUGCCUCACAGCCUUAGCCAGUGUUUUGUUUGGUAAUUUAAGACUUUGAAGCAAAGUCCGGGAGAAGCCAAUUUCUGCCCUUGUGCGUAAACUGGCGUUCCUUAGUGUCAAUCACUUGCUCAAUCGCUUAGGAGUCCCCACCCCCACCCCCAAACCCCAUCAGAGGUGACUACGGCAUGUAGUCUGAAGAAGGGUGACUUGCCUAGUCCUUGAAGGUAGCGUUGCUCACUGUGGCUAAGCCUUAAGAAGGCGUGAGCUUCAGGUAGCACCCAAGGUUCAGUUCUGUCUACCCCUGCCACCAUGACAGCUCAGGGAACUGCCCUCCCGUGUGGUGAAAGAAAAUCGUUCUGUUUGAUUUGGUCAUUCUUUAAGGGCACAACUCUUCAAAAUUCUGCCCACACGUACAGGCUUCCAAGAGGGCAAUCGAAAGCAGAGUGUGUUAAAUCACCCAUGCGGCGCUCACCACCACCAUCUGUGCAGUUCCAAACAGAAGAGUGGGGGUGCCUUUGCUCCAUUCCUCCAUCAUAAACAUGGCAGCGGAGGGGCUCUCCCCUCCCCGGGGCGCUGUAUGAACGACCAUAGGUGUCUGCCAGGUUAAAGCUAAAGUUACUGAACAGAGCUGCUGGAUGCCAGUGACACGUCAUCGUUGGUAUUUCCUGAAAUGACCAGAGACCAAAGACCCUCAGCCCUGGAAAUGUUCCUUGACUUGGGAACAAUUCCGGGCCAUUUGGUCUAAUUAUAUGAGGAUCCUUUUGACCCAGUUAUGUCUUUACGCACAACUUACAGGGUGAAGUGUAUUUUGGAAUUGUUUAAUCACACCAUGCCUCAUUUUCUUUAAAAUGAAGGUUUGGCUAUUAUACCUUUCUCUGAAUAUCUUUGUUUUAAUCUGAGGUAGCAAUAAAGCCUUGCGUUUCCAGUAUUUGGGAAGCUGAGGUAUGGAGAUCCAGUGUUUGAAGCCAAAUCGAGCUACAUGGUAAGUGUUGGGGUUUAAAUCUCCGCUCCUGUCUAGACAGAAUACACCAAACCAACAUGGUUCCACGUGGAGAGGUUUAAUGAGAGAAGAGUAGAAGAGGGAAGAAGUAAAAGCCGACGUGAGCACAUGGAAGGAAGGGGGAUGGGAGAGAAGGGACAAAGAGGAAGAACAGGGAAAAGAAGAGAGCAGAGAGCAGAAAGCAAGAGAGUGAGGAGGGGCCAAGCAGCUCCUUAUAGUGUGCCAGGCACAGCUGGCUGUUGCCAGGCAACUAUGGGGUGGAGCAUACCUGGCUGUUGCCAGGUAGCUGAGGGGGUGGAGCUUAGACAGAAUACCAACAGUAAGACUUGGUCAUAAAAAGAACCAAAGAAAAACCCUAUUUUUAUCUUUCCUUAUGUGUGUGUGUUUGUGUGGGCUUGCAAAGACCAGAGGUCUACGUCAGCCAUCUCUCUCUCAUUCUCCACAUUGUAGUCUUCUUUGGCAUCUGUUUUGUUUUGAGACAGUCUCCUCACUGAACCAGAAGCUCACAGAUUUGGCAGGAUUCGCUGGUCAGGCAACUGCAGGCAUCUCCCAUCUUUGCCUGUCCAGCACUAGGAAUCUAGAUGCACACCGCAAUGCAUGGUUUUUUUUUUUUUUUUACCUGUGUACAUUGAACUGAGCUGAAGUCCUUACGCUUGUGUGGCAGGCAUCACCAACGAACCAUCUCCCCAGCCCCUAUUUUAACAUCUGUGCUUGAGAUCUCUCCUUGAGUUUCUUAGUUCUUGCCCAUUGUUGUUGAACUUCUAUGUGUUUCUUUGUCUUCUUCUCUCUCAGAGGUGGUUUCCCUGACCAAGCUUUCCUUACAACCCACUAUUUCUAAAUGCUCACCUCAGACAUGAAUACAGUCAGUUCUGGGGAUGGAGAAUGUGGUGGUUUGAAUAUGCUUGGCCCAGGAAGUGGCACUAUUAGACAGUAUAGCUUUGUUGGAAUAGGUAUGGCCUUGCUAGAGGAAGUGUGUCAUUGUGGGCAUGGACUUUAAGAUCUUCAUCUUAGUUGCCUGGAAGGCAGUCUCCUAACAGUCUUCAGAUGAAGAUGUAGAACUCUCAGCUCCUCCUGCACCAUGCCUGCCUGGAUGCUGCCACAGUCCUGCCUUGAUGAUAAUGGACUGAACCUCUGAACCUGUAAGUCAGCCCCAAUUAAAUGUUGUCCUUACAGGAGUUGCCUUGGUCAUGGUAUCUCUUCACAUCAACAAGACCCUAAGUAAGACAGGGAGAUAAGCCCUGCCUGGCCUGGCUGCUCUUCUCCAAACCAGCUCUUGCCAGAUCUCACAUGGAAUCUUUUCCGGGAUCAUUCCAGACAUGCUCUCUUUUCAGGGUUGUUCAGCUAGAGCUUCACAUACAUUGUUCUAGCUGGUUUUGUGUGUCAACUUGAGACAAAGCUAGAGUCAUCAGAGAAAAAGGAGACUUAGUUGAGGCUACUAUGAGAUCCAGCUGUAAGGUAUUUUCACAAUUAGUGAUCAAUAGUGGAGGGCCCAGCUCAUGGUGGGUGGUGCUAUGCCUAGGCUAGUGGCCCUGGGUUCUGUAAGAAAGCAGGCUAAACAAGCCAGGAAAAGCAAGCCCGUAUGUGGUACUCCUCCUAUGGCCUCUAUAUCAGCUCCUGCUUCCAGGAUCCUGCCCUGCUUUGAGUUCCUUCCUGAUGUUCUUGAAUAAUGAACAGCAGUGUGGAAGUGUAAGCUUAAUAAAACCCUUCCCUUCCCAACUUGGUUUUUGGGCAUGGUGUUUUGCUGCAGUAAUAAAAACCCUAACCAAGACAUACAUUUAGAGUGUAGAAUGUUAGAUUAACUAUUGUAGAAGAACAUGUAACCCUCAAACAUUUCAGCACUGAAAACCAAACAAGAACAAAACCCCGUCACUAUUUAAUAUACCUGAGAUUCCCUCAUGAGCCAACAGUUAAAGCUUAGCCUGUGGUCAUUCACUGGGGCUGCAGGAUCCUAUUCAAAGGUGAGGUAUUCAUGUGGCUGGUAGGUUGGCAAGGGCUGCACUUGGGAGACCUCAGGGCUGCCAGAAUAUCUUCAUGACAGGGUAUAGACCCCUGGAAAGCAAGAUGGCGGCAGCUGCUUUGCUCUCUGUAGUUUAGCUUUAGAGUUUACACACCAUUAUCUCAGCCAUUUUCUGUUGCUCACUAAGGACAUUAAAUAAGGUCUCAGGGGACUGUGGACUUUGGAUGUCAUUGUCUAAACUGCUCUGACUUAUCCAAAACUCAUUGCCCUGCCAUCCAGGCCAUUCUUCUAAGAAGCUUCUUCUCAUUGAUGAGGUAUCUUUCUGCUCCCAGUAUCCCUCAGCCAUAUCCCUACUGUUUAUAGACACUACACUGAAGUAAUUGGGUCACCAUUGCUCUUCUUGAGCUGCCGUGAAGAAUAAUAAUAUUUAACUAGAGAUCCCAAUGUUUAGGGUAUAAGCAUGAACAGAGUAUGGACUCUCAAUGGCAUUUAUACAUCAAAUAUGUGAAUAAACAAAUGCCAUCCCCCACCACCAGCAGGAAACAUUUUAUAAAUCACUCAAUGUAUAUCUGUAAUGUCCAACUUGUAAGCCCUACCUGCCCAAGGACCAGGUCACCUCUUGGAAUUCUGGGAAUUGUAGUUCUUAGAAAAUUACAAAGUCUGAUGGGAAAGUACAGUGGUUUAUAAGUUUGUCUUAUAUGCCCCUGCAGCACUUGUCUUGGGACUAUUUUGGCUGGGGAUCAUCCCAGGGGACGCUCGUGAUCAAGGUCCAUCUUCUGUUCAGUAUUUAACAAAGCUGACUUUGAAUUUGGCCCCAAACGUAGAAAGAAUUUUUUCUCUGUCGAAUCUUAGGGUUGCAAAUCACCUCAGGGUCUCAACUCUCUGCUGCUUGAUGUUGAUGUUCAGGUUUGAGUUCCUCGAUUUCAUUUCUUACUCCACCUCACCCACCCCUUUACUCAGGUCACACCCCUCAUUGGCCCAGAGAUUCCAUUCCAGGGAUUUACUCCAAGGAUGUAAUUGCACAGUUGGCGAAGACAGAGCUAAUAGCAAUGGUCACCACAGUUGUUCAUGUUGAUAGCUCUGUAAGAAGUAUAUAAAUUCCCCAAAAUGGUAAUUGGGUCAAAAAAGUUAAGGAAUCAUGAAACACCACAUUAAAUAGCUGCUAAAGCAUUAAUACAGAAAUAAAUUCGUUGACAUAAAAAUAUGUCACUUGAUGUCAUAAGAAGUUUCAGAAAGACGUGCAAUCUUAUAUUUAAUUGCAGUAAAGUACUUACCAUAAAAUUUACCUUUUUAAUUUAGUUAUUAUUAUCUUUCUAUUUUCUUUUCUAUUUUUGAGAUGAGAUCUUGCUAUAAAGCUCAGGAUGGCCUUGAACUCACAGAACACUUCCGUCAGCUUUCUGAGCGCUGGGAUGACAGCUGUGAUCUGAUGUAAGCUCUCAGCUACUGUUCCAGUGCCUGCCUGCUUGCUGCCAUGCUCCCCACCAUGAUGAGAUGGUCAUGGACUAACCCUCUUAAACAGGAAGUGACUCCUCAAUUAAAUGCUUUUUUCUAUCCACUCUCUUCUGCAUCAUCUAACGAAAGGUUCAUGUACUCAUCAAAGCCAGCAAUAAUAACCCUCCACCCUCCUGCUCUUCAUGGAGUCACCCUGGAGCAUGACAAGAAUUCUGCAGUACCAGAAGAUGAGGUUGAUGAGCUUCACCACCACAUUCUGCAUCUUGUGGCCCUGGUCAUGGGACACCAUGGUGGAAUCUCAUCACGAGUUCAGUUCUGUUGUCUUUUUGCUUUACAGAGCACAAGUCAUUUCAAGUUGAAGCAUUUCUGGGAAAAAAAAUGGAUUGAAGAACCUGGACAUCUCUCCUGCUGCCUUGAGGUCUUCUCUGUGGUAUCCUGGUAGCAUUGCAGCCUCUAGCUAGACCAGCCUCCAGAGUAUUCUAAUCAGGACAAAUAUUCUUGCCUUGCCUACAGGAGGCAGUGCAGACCUGGGUUAGGGGGUUGUAGAGACUGCAAGCCUUGACUUGAUGGCCUUCCUCUUCCUUAAUACAAUGUAUUAUUUCCUUGCUCUGUUUUAGAAAAGUCAGCCUAAAAGGGGACCUUAUAAUAAGUCAGGUGACUGGCAAUGAGGUAGCACAGGGGACGUAUUGUUUCUCCAGAGAUAAAGAAGGAAAAGAAGUCCAUCUUUCCUCCUCUGUCAUCACCAGCACUCACAGUUGAUGGGGACCCUAAGAAGCUGGCAUAGUAGGCUUGAUUUUGUUUUUUAAUCCUUAAAGCUUUUCUUUUGGUUGUUGUUUGUUCUUCCUUGGAGACGGGGUUUCUCUUGUAGCUGUGGCUGUCCUAGAACUCUCUCUGUAGUCCAGGCUAGCCUAGAAAUCACAGAACAUAGCUGCCUCUGCCUUCCAAGUGCUGGGAAUAAAGAAAUGUAUGUCCACUGCCCAACAAUUUUAAAAUGUUUUGAGAAUUUUAUCUACCAGUACUGUAGGUAUAUCAUUUCCUCUCCAACUUCUGUUCCUCCAGCUCCUCCCAACUUCCUCCUAUUCCCUCUCAAAUGCAUGACCUUGUUAUUAUCAUUAUGAUUAUUAACACAUAAAUAUGUAUGCAAAUAUAUACAUACAACAUGCUAAGUCCAUUUGUAUGUGUUUAAAGGUGACUACUUGGGGACUUGUCCUUGGAGAGGUCUAACUCUCACUCUCUUAGCAGCCAUUAGUUAACUGUAGCUCUUCACCUAGUAAAGGGUCCUUUUGAGAUUUCCCCAUCCACAUCAACCCGUGGAUUAGUGUCUUGUAGGUCUUGAUUAGGCAGCCACCAUGUUAGGAUUCCAUGGGUGCAGCUCCCUGUCACACAGAAGACACUGUAGACUUUGAAAGGAAAUUUUCCUAGCAGUCUAUUGUAAGGUACUAUUUUUCUAGCCAAAGCUGGACCAUCUUUAUGAGAUCAGUGGUGCCUACCUGAUCUAAAAGGGUCCAUUGGGAUGAGGCAAACUUGACAUCCUCUCAGAGUAUGAGAGGAUGGGAAGAGGCAUCAUUGGACCCUCACAAGGUCUUACAGUCACGGUUCCCUUCCCUUUGUACGCAGUUUUCCCUAAUUGGAUUCGACUUCAUGGUCUGGGAUAGAUGCUAGAGUAUGCAUGUUGAAGUUCGAUCUGUUCCUGUGUAUUGUAAUGUUAAGUUCUAAACCCAAAAGUCUAGGCCUCUGAGUGACUUCUCUUGUUCACAAGCUUCUGUCGUGCAAACCUUGUUCCUUGAUUUAAAACUAUUGGCUAAAUAAAAUUGGCUACAGCUAAUUACUGGAGGGAUUAGAGAUUUGGAGUGACCUGGUUGGGAGAAGAAGAGGAGGAAGAGAGGGAGGGAGGAGGAGGCCACCAUGAGACGAGAUGGACCAUGAGCACGUGACCAGGAGAAACAGCAAGUGUCUGGGAUACACCGCUGGGGAGGUAGCCAGGCCAGCAGUUAGAAGAGUAGAUUACGGAUUAUCUCCUAAUCGUUGUCAAAACCAAAUAAAAAUAACCAUAGUCUCAGUCUCGCUUAUUUGUAAGCUAGUUAGGGGUAAGCUUACAGGUAAGCCUACACCCCUAAGUUGGGUAAGAUGAGGGAAGAAGGCUUCAUCUAUGGAGCCACUGGGAAGAGUAAUGGCCCAUCAGAACAGAAAUCUUCCAGUGUUCCUGCAUCAGGGUCACCUGCACAUCUACUAAGGAUCAUGCAAGAUCUUUGAGUGCGCCUAAUAAAUCCACUGUUUCCCCCAGUGUGAACUGUGUUGGAGACAAACCAGUUGGCUGUUGGGAGUCUUAUGAAAGAGAGGUAAACUCUUCCUAGUGAGAAAACACAUCCUUGUGGGGCAACACAUCCUUGCACCGAAACCUGCUGAGUUAUAGGAAUUAGCUAUAAGGAAACAUACAAAGCCCAUAAAGUCACCAUGGAGCUUCAGUGAGGCAUAGAAGAGAAAACCAAAGGGAGAACACCACUGGAAAGGCAAGCGAAGGCUGAAGGCAAGCACCACUCGGCCUGAAGAAAAAGACCAGCCUCAAAAGCAAAUACCAGCAGGGCUGUGGGUGAGCCUUAGAUAGAGCAUUUCCCAAGUGCGAGCAAGACGUAGAUUUAACCCCUAGUGCUGAAGGGGUAAAAAGGCUUGGCAUAGUGUUGUAUGACUAUAAUCCCUAUCCUCAAGGUUCGAGGUAGGAAGAUACUAAGUUUGAGGCUAGCCUGGGCUACAAAGACCAAAUCUCAAACAAAAGAAAACAACUAGAAUGUAAACAAACAAACAAAAAGAUUAGCCUGGAAAAUGGAAUCUUGCUGCCAAGAACAUUUCCUCUGCCUCGAAGAACAACGCCAUCUUGCUGAGGUAAAGAGAGAAUGAAAACAAGCCAGAAAUUAAUUCUAAAGAGUCUUUUCUUCCUCUCCUCUCCUCUCCUCUCUACUUCUCCCCUCCCUUCCCCUCCCUUCCCCUCCCCUCCCCUCCUCUCCUCUCCUUUUUCUGAGACAGAGUCUCUGUAUGUAGCUUUGGCUGUCCUAGAAAUCUCUGUGUAGAUCCAGUUGGCCUAGAACUCACAGAGACCCACCUA